GGGGUAACCAAGUGUCGUUAGCUC
rnacentral:siRNA from 1 species